CAUGUCUCAGUGCAGGCCUUCAUACGGUGAAACCGCGAAUGGCUCAUUAAAUCAGCUAUGGUUUAUUGGAUCGUACCCGUUAAAUGGAUAACUGUAAUAACUCUAGAGCUAAUACAUGCCUUAAAGCCCUGACCUUGCUGGCUAGCUUAGCUAGUAGGGAAUGGGUGCACUUAUUAGAUCAGAAGCCAACCGAUUGUGCGUGCGCAAGUGCGUGCAUUGAAAUACUUCUGGUGACUCUGGAUAAUUGUUACAGAUCGCAGUCGGCCUUGAGUCGGCGACGGGUCCUUCAAAUGUCUGCCCUAUCAACUUUCGAUGGUAGGUGACCUGCCUACCAUGGUUCUUACGGGUAACGGGGAAUCAGGGUUCGAUUCCGGAGAGGGAGCCUGAGAAACGGCUACCACUUCCAAGGGAGGCAGCAGGCGCGCAAAUUACCCAAUCCCAGUACGGGGAGGUGGUGACGAAAAAUACCGAUGCGGGACUCCUAAAAGAGGCUCCGUAAUCGGAAUGAGUGGACUCUAAAUCCUUUCACGAGGAUCAAUUGGAGGGCAAGUCUGGUGCCAGCAGCCGCGGUAACUCCAGCUCCAAUAGCGUAUAUUAAAGUUGCUGCAGUUAAAAAGCUCGUAGUUGGAUCUCGGUAGCAUUGUUGCCUGUUGGUGAUUGAGCAUGGGCGUGUGGCCGAUGACGCGCGGCUUUGACGCCUGUGUGUUGGCAUGGUGUGGGGUAGUAGGCUGGCGCAUUAGUGCUAGUGUGUGGUGUGGCUACGCGGGUGGCUAAAUGAGCUGCGGCAAUAGGGCUACAGUCGUGCAUGCCUUGUGGCGCGUGUGAUUGUGCCUGCUGUGGCUGUGUCUAGCUUUCGUGUGGUCGUGCUAUGGCUUGCCUAGGCGAUUAUUAGUUUGCUGCCUUGCUCCUACCGCUACAGCGUUGGGGUUGUGUUGUUGUGGUUCAUAAAUAGCGUCCUUGUUUCUAGCUGGCAAGGUGACGGUGUGGCCUUUAAGCCAUGUCUGAGGUGUAAGAGCCGCAGGUGUAGGCGGGUGUUGGGUGGUGCUCUGCACACGCUGUGGAGCCCAUCGGCCCGUUUGCAUGCCUUGGGAUGCCCUUUAAAAGGUGUCUGUAGGCGGAUGGCACGUUUACUUUGAACAAAUUUGAGUGCUCAAAUCAGGCCGAUGUUGCCUGAAAAGUUUUGCAUGGAAUAAUGGAAUAGGACUUCGGUUCUAUUUCGUUGGUUUUCGGAUCCGAAGUAAUGAUCAAAAGAG
rnacentral:rRNA from 1 species